UUUGGAAAUCCUUUUGUCAAAUGGCAAGUAUUGUUAUGCAAUGCUAAUUUUCUUAAAGAAUGACUUCCUUUUGGAAAACUUAUGGAGAUUUGGUAUGAGGGCAAGGUUUGGUGCAACAGUUAGUUUGCGUCUUUGUGACUCAAAGGUUAUCAGUUUGAAUGAUGAAAACAGCCUUUCUGCCAAAAAGCAGGGGAAGGCUAUGUCUAAUGCUAGGCCUUCUUUUGAACCACAUAGGGUGGGGAGUCUUGUACACCCCAGACACCUGUUAUGCAGAUUUGGUACAUAAAAACAUAAAUUCAAAAUUUCUUCUUUUGUUCAAUGGUAGAGUUGAUGUUUUGUGUGGGAAUAGUUUGUUAGUUUGUUCAUUCUCUAUGCUGCAUCUUGUAUAUUUUUUUGACACAUUAUUUACGAAACCCUGCCCCUACAAAUUUCUUUUAACAGUGAGAAUGUCUUCCUCUAACACUUGCUAGAUUAGAUGUGAGUGAUUUAAAAAUUAAAAUUCUAAAAAUUAGCUUUUUAGUGGCAAAACCAAAAAUCCUC
rnacentral:misc_RNA from 1 species